UUCAGCCCUUUUCCAGAAUUUGAACUAAUUUGAUCAUAAAGAUUGAUCUAUUUAUAAUUUAUCGAUUACAAUUUUUAGACAAUUAAAGCUGGUUAAAGGAACUUUUAUUUUGGAAAAAGAACUGCUGCUGUUUCAAGACAUGCGCACUAGCUGCGACAUCUAGUGACGACAUUUACCGGGCUUUAACGGUUGUUGCUGCAUGAAGUCUGCUGCAAUUUCUUUGAGAUUUCUCAAGAUCAUCAGUUUGGACAGAAUUCAUUUGAAGAAUUAAUAGCACUAGCAGGUUCCAAUAAAGGCUGGAACAGAACAGACAGAAAAGAAUCUGUCAGAAGAAAUUCAACUACUGUUCGUGCACCAGAUGGUGAAGUAGAAAAGUUCGUAAAAACUUCUGCAGCUUGCAUCUGACAUCUGAAAACAAGC